rnacentral:rRNA from 1 species
CAGUAGCCGCGGUAAUACGAAGGGGGCUAGCGUUGUUCGGAAUUACUGGGCGUAAAGCGCACGUAGGCGGAUAUUUAAGUCAGGGGUGAAAUCCCGCAGCUCAACUGCGGAACUGCCUUUGAUACUGGGUAUCUUGAGUAUGGAAGAGGUUAGUGGAAUUGCGAGUGUAGAGGUGAAAUUCGUAGAUAUUCGCAGGAACACCAGUGGCGAAGGCGGCUAACUGGUCCAUAACUGACGCUGAGGUACGAAAGCAUGGGGAGCAAACAGGAUUAGAUACCCCAGUAGUCCCUGUCUCUUAUAC